rnacentral:lncRNA from 1 species
UCCACAAUGGAUACUAAUUCUCAGUAUCAAAACCCUAACCCUAAAACUGACCCUGAUCAAUAUAUUACUAAUCGGCUAUUCGAUGACUCAUUAUAUUUUGAAGUUUCGGAUUAUUUCGUGAUGGACAAUGGCUCUGAAGAAGAUAUUUUCGUGGAAAAUACAAUCCCACCAGCUGAAAACGUAGUCAAUGAAUCUUCAAAUCCAAGUCCAGUGGCCAGAAACAUGCAAGUCCAAUUAAAACCUAAUAUUUUUUUUCAUUUUUGUAUAUUUUUUGUCUUGAUUUAGCUACAACGAGGAAAAUAUUCAUUUAUUAUUAUUUUUUUUAAUGGAAGGGUACAUAGAAGAAGAGAAAAGAAAUACAAGUCACAGAGCGAGUUUAAGUUCGCGUUGAGAACCCAAUCAAAUAUCGAAAUCAUGGAUGAUGGAUUUAAAUGGAAAAAAUAUGGGAAAAAGAUGAUCAAGAACAGCCCAAAUCCAAGGUAAUUCAUUGUACAUUUUUCUUAUUACCUUGUUUCAAUACUGUUUUCUUUUCAACUUAGCUUAUGAUACCAUUUUGAAAGUGUUAAAUUAAUCUAAUAAUGAUUAGUAGCUUAACACCAUCCAAAUAUUUGAGAGUUAUAUAUAUAUUUAAGAUCAAACUGGUGCUGCUUCAUUUAAUUUGAUAGAUUUCAAUUUAAUAAUGGUUCCUUUAUUGUGAUUUCAUUUUGAAAAUGAUAAUUUAAUAUGUGCAAAUAGAAACAGUUGAGAAGCAUUAAUUAAAGCGUCACUCAUCAUUAUCCCAUGAUAAAUUCUUAAAUUGAUGUAACACUUUCUAAUUUAGCAUUUUUGAGUUUGGGAGGUCUCUCUCUAACAAUCAUCAAAUCGAUUUUAAAUCAAACUGUUCGUUAGAGAGAGUAUAAUUUUAUUUAUAUGUCUUCAAUAUGUCCAUUUAUAUGUACACAAAAGUCAUUUUAUCAAUAGUACAUCAUGUGGGAUACUCAUAAAUGUGGAUGAUGUAAUUUGAAUUCAAGAUGUUUAUUUAUUUUGAUAAAUGGUUUGAAGGUAUCAUCUUAAAUUAAAUUAUUAAAGAUANNNNNNNNNNNNNNNNNNNNNNNNNNNNNNNNNNNNNNNNNNNNNNNNNNNNNNNNNNNNNNNNNNNUUAUAGAUAGCUAUUCAUUCAUACAUAGCCAACAAUUUGGUAAUUAAUAUAGAUAGCUAUAAAAAAAUGCAUACUUGGCUAUGUCUAGUAUACAAUACCCAUCAACUGAUAAUAUUAGAACAUUGGAUUUUCACUAAUUUGAUCCAUUUCUGUUCAAUUCAUCAUAUUCAAUGUUUCUUUACAAGUAUCUCGCAUGAUCAAGAGUUACGAAUUUUUUUUUUCCUAUAAUGAAUUAUACAAUAUGUGCAAAAUUAAAGGUAUGAUAAAGUGAUUUAUUUUAGUCUUCACCGUGAGAAAUUGGAGUUAGCUAAACUUCAAAAUUUAUUCCUAGGUAAGUUUAUUACUAGGGAAUAAGUAGAAAUAUAAAUAUUUAUUCUUUUAUUGAUCAAAUUAAGAUGAACGUGGGCCUUAUUAAUUUCUCCUCAUAAAGUUUGUAGUUAAAAAUUUACUUAGUGCAUGUUUGGAUUGACUCUACUUAAAUAGUUCUCCAAUGGUCUCAAUCCUAAUCACAAAUGAGUUUUCAUGCCAAAAUAGUGAUUUUAGGGCUUUUCCAAUUUUGGUGUAUUUUCACAUCCGAAUUUCACCAUAUUUUCUUUCCACCUUUUCUCUUUCAUCAUACAAUUCUAAGUGACUGGAGUUAUUUCAAAGUUAGGGAAGUGAAUGGGAGUUUAAGAAAGUUUUGGGUUUGAAUUAUUUUCAAACCAUUCCUUCUAAUUCACUUUAAUAACUUGUGGGUCAGGUCACCUCACAUAGACGACGUACGACAAGCAUCUUCCAACAAUAUUAUAUAUCAACUUGGUCUUCUUUUUUUCUAGAUGGUUUGAAUAACCAAAAACAUCACUGUUUAAGGUUUUGGCAUCAUACAAGCCACUUGGUAUCUGAUGAAAUGAUUGCCAUUAAUAUAUAGUGGUAUGAAUAAAUAAAGAAAAAAAGAGAAAAAAAAAAACGCAUAAACAAUUUUCCCCUAUUUUCUUGUCUGAUAUCAUAUAGUCCACUCUAUCAAACAAAUCAUCAAUAUUUCUACAAGAAAUUCUAUGUUGUACUUGUGUGUUAUAUCUGUUUCAUAUAUGCAUGUAGCAGCCUCAGGGACAAAAUUUUGGGGUUUCUUCAGAAGUUGCAUGACUUCUGUGUAUAUACAAAAUUUUCAUAUGAUGACUGCUGUGUUUGUUCACUUCUCAUUCUUGUCAUUGCUGCCAAGUUUUCUUCGGAAAUAUGAAAUUAGCCCAUGUUUGAUAACCAUUAUUUGAAAACUAUUUUUUCUAUAUACUCAUUUUUAAUUAAAUAUUUACACAAUAAAAUAUUUUAUAUAUAAAUUCAAAAUCUUUUUCUAUUUUUUAACCACACAUUCUCUUAAAAAUCACUAUUCAAAAUAUUGUGCCCCGGUUUGAUGGCUAUUUUUUCUCAAAAACAAUGUUAUGAAUAGUAAUUUUAAGAAGAAUGUAGAGAAAAGUUUAGAAUUUGACACUGACCUAUCCCAAUUUAUUUAAAUCAUUGAACAAAUAUGUACAAGAUAUUGGACAUAAAGUUGGAUCUCCAAGUUACUUAAGCUUGAUUUUGACAAAAGGGUGGUGCUCCAUUAUGAACAGGAACUAUUUUAAAUGCCAAAGGGAUGGAUGCAAUGUGAAGAAAAGGGUAGAAAGGGAUAGAGAGGACCCCAGAUAUGUGAUAACAACCUAUGAAGGAGUGCACUACCAUGAAAGCCCCAAUUGUGUGGUCUGUUGCAAUAACCAAUUGCCUACUCAUGGAUUGACUUUACACCAAUCGUCGUCUCUCUCUUUCUCUCCUUCUCCCAUACUAUAAUUAGUUAUAGUUAUUCAGUGAUGUGGAUUAUAUGUUCACUAUUAUAAACUAGUUAUGACUUGUUCAAGGGGGAUCAUAGGAUAUUGAAAUGAAACUGAUUUUGCAUUAUAUUGUCUAGCUUUGGUCAAUACCAUAGUUAUGACUUGGUCGAGAUAAGGUGAAUUAUGUAGUAUUAAUCAAUAAAAAAUAGGACUUUAUUUAUUAUAAUGUUCAAUCUAAUAAAUAUUGGUUCCAUGGUG